rnacentral:rRNA from 1 species
GAUGAACGCUGGCGGCGUGCCUAAUACAUGCAAGUCGAGCGAACAGACGAGGAGCUUGCUCCUCUGACGUUAGCGGCGGACGGGUGAGUAACACGUGGAUAACCUACCUAUAAGACUGGGAUAACUUCGGGAAACCGGAGCUAAUACCGGAUAAUAUAUUGAACCGCAUGGUUCAAUAGUGAAAGACGGUUUUGCUGUCACUUAUAGAUGGAUCCGCGCCGCAUUAGCUAGUUGGUAAGGUAACGGCUUACCAAGGCAACGAUGCGUAGCCGACCUGAGAGGGUGGUCGGCCACACUGGAACUGAAACACGGUCCAUACUCCUACGGGAGGCAGCAGUCGGGUAUCUUCCGCAAUGGGCGAGAGCCUGACGCAGCGACGCCGCGUGAGUGAUGAAGGUCUUCGGAUCGUAAAACUCUGUUAUGAGGGAAGAACAAAUGUGUAAGUAACUAUGCCCGUAUUGACGGUACCUAAUCAGAAAGCCCCGGCUAACUACGUG